CCCGAUACUUUUUAAAAUUAGUUUUUAAACUGAUAUUUAAUUCACAUAGCAUAGGAUUCACCACUUUACAGUAUAAUUCGGUAGGCUUUAGUAUAUUUACAAAUUGGGCAACCAUUACCACUAGCUAAUUCCUGAACAUUCUUAUCACCCUAAAAGGAAGCCCCAUACCUGUUAAUAGUCACUGUCAAUUCUUCCCUCUCCUCAGCUCCUUUCUGACUCCACUAUUUGUCUAUCCUGGACAUUUCAUAUAAAUGAAGUAUUUUGCGUCUGGCUUAUUUCACUUAACAUAGUGCCUUUAAAGUUCACCCAUAUUGCAGCAGAUAUCAACACCUCAUUCUUUUCCAUGGCUAAUAUUCCAUUAUACCUAUAUACCACAUUUUGUUUAUCCAUUCAUCAGUUGGUAGACUUUUAGGUUGUUUUCACUUUGGGCUAUUAUGAAUAAUGCUACUAGGAACAUUACUGUCUAAGGUUUUGUAUGAAUACAUGUUUUUAGUUCUCUUGCCUACAUACCUAGGAAUAGAAUUGCUGGGUCAUAUGAUUAACUUUAUGUUACUCUAUAUUUAACUUUUUGAGAAACCAUCAAACUAUUUUCCACAGCAGCUGCAUCAUUUUACAUUUCAACCACACCAGUAUAUGAGUGUCUCACUAUCUCAACAUCCUUACCAAAAUUUAUUUUCAGUGUUUUUGAUUCUGUUCAUCUUUGUAGGACUCAAUAAUUUCUAAAGCGUAUAAGGGGUUCUGAGGCUAAAAUGUUUGAGAAUUGUUUUUCUAACAAAUAACUUUAAAAAAACAUGAAAGCAUUUUUUGUAAAUAACAAGUUUAUAGAAACAGAGGACAGAUUAGUGGUUGCCAGAGGUGGGGAAGGAUGCAGGCAAAAUGGGUGAAGGUGGUCAAACAGUACAAACUUCCAGUUAUAAAGUAGAUAUGUACUGGGGACGUGAUGUACAGCAUGGUGACUAUAAUUAAUAAACACUGCAUUAUAUAUUUGAAAGUUGCUAAGAUAGUAGAUCUUAACAAGUUUUUAUCACGAGAAAAAACAUUUAAUUGUGUGGUGAUGGACGUUAACUAGACUUCUUGUGGUGAUCAUUUCACAAUAUAUACAUAUACUGAUUACAUCGUAUAGCUGAAACUAAUAUGUUAAAAAAAUAAACAUAAUAACACUAUGAAUUAACAAUAAUUUCACAAAGUUUUGUGAUACCGGGGUAAUCAAGCUUGCCUAGGACAGACACAAUUUACACCUUUGUACCAGCAUAACUAUUAAAAGUGUCUCCUUUAACUCUCAUUAUGCCCUGUUUAGAUGACAAAUUAUAUGAACACCCUGUAACAGAACUAUGUUCAGAUUUCCCCAGUUGCCUUAAAUAUAUCUUUUUACAAUAUGUUUAUUGAAAACAAUAUCCAACAUUGCAUUUGAUUGAGGUGUCUUUAAAAACUAUAUCAAUUCUCUCUUCCACUCCAUUUCUUUCAUGCUAGUUAUUUAUUGAAGAAACUGGGUAAUUUGUGGAAUUUCUUGUAUCCUUAGCUUGGCUGAUCAUAAAGUCUUGGUGUCUUAAUCUGUCUCUCUAUCCUUCCUAUUUCUUGCCAUUUUGUAGUUAGAUCUAGAAGUCUGAUUAGGUUUAGGGUCAAUUUUUGUGCAACAUGUUUCAUAGAUGGUGUGUAUAUACUGUUGCAUUACAUCAAGAGGCACGCGGUAUCUGGUUGUCUCACUUUUAGCGAUGUUAAGAUAAAUCGGUGGGUUCAGGUUUUGUUAGCUUGAUCCAGCUAUUAUAAGAUUCCCAUCAAUGUUCCACUUUGUAAUUCUAACAGCCAUGAAUGAUUGUUGCCUAGUCCCCGUGCUUCAUUGGGACCUGUGAACAGUAACUUUCUAAUUCUGCUAGUUCUGUGUCAUUUGUUGCCCUUACAAACUAUUUGGAUAUCCUGAAAUAUAUAGCAGAAUAAAUGCUUGAUUUUUUCCUUUUACCAAUUUUCAAAAAAAAGAGUUGGUUCCUUAGGUGAUCCAAGCAUGAAUGAUGAUUUUUUUCUUUGUUAGUAUUACUAUGAAUGAAUUAAUGGAUUUGUAUAUAUUAGAUUAUGUUUCAAUCCGUUCGUCAUUAUUUUUUUUUUAAGCCCAAACGGUUCCACUUUGGCCAAAGAGUGCCCCUUCCACCUUGCUCUUGGGUUCUUUCGACAUAACCUCAGGAGUAUUUGAUAGCUACUUUGCUUUCUGUCAUAAUAAAAUGUCACAAGCUCAUCUUACACAAUCCUUGCUUGCCCCCGUUCUAAAAUCAGUCAUUUCCUAAAGGAGUCCUGGUUCUUCUUAGUGGGCAAUGGCAUUUAGAUUAUGAAUUUGGAUACUAGGGCUGCUCAUAGCCAUUGGAUUUUCAUUGCUUCUUGGCCUUUUCAGUGGACACAGCUAGGAUAUAUGUAUUUUGUAGCUAGAGAAAAAUUAAUCAUGAAUUCAUACUACCAUUGCCAAUUCAAAUUUUUGCUUAUCGAAUUUACAUCUAAUUUCAUUGAUUUGAUAUCUGUUAUCUCUUUAUCUUUCACCGCAGACCUUGGUUUCUAACAACACUAAGAUACUUACCUGCUAUUUUAUAUACACACAUGUGUAAAAUAUACAUGUGACAGCAUCUAAUUAACAAUACCGCUAUUAUUACUAAGAGUUACUAUUACUAAAUGCAGUUUGAUUUCUUAGCCAUUCCUUUCUGUUCUUAGGAUAAGUCCCACUAAGGAUAUACAGUCAAAAUCAUGAGUUUUAAAGUCAGUUUCUUAUUUUUCCAUGCGGUUAUGCCAGUAACUUGAAAUAUACUUUGAUUCAUGACUUUCAUUUUCU